UUCAAUUUAUUUAUUUCAUUACAUGUAUUUCCCACCUUUCCUUCAAGGAGCUCAAGGCCGUGUGAGCACUUCUUCCUGUCAAGGUUAUGUGACGAGAGUCCUAGUGCAAGAAUCUAACAGGCACACCAUACUGGCUCUUGAUGGGGUCCACUGGCAGCUGUUGUUGUGCCUUCAAGUCUAUUUCGACUUAUGGUGAUCCUAUGAAUCAGCAACCUCCAAGAGCAACUGUUAUAAACCACCCUGUUCAGAUCUUGCUAGGAAAGUUGCAAAAGCCUCUGCACUGAGAUACUACAAUGAAUCUUGGUAUGUAU